rnacentral:rRNA from 1 species
AAAGUAGCAUAAUCACUCGUCAUUUAAUUGAUGACUGGAAUGAAUGGUUAUACGAAUCCUCAACUGUCUCAUUAAUAAGAUUAAUAAAAUUGAAUUAAUAGUGAAGAUACUAUUUAUUAAUUGUAAGACGAAAAGACCCUAUCGAGCUUUACUAAAUGCCUAAACCUAAAAAAAUAUACUACCAACAAUUAAAGUUUAGGACAACUAGUUUGGUUGGGGCGACCACCUCUAAAACAGUAUCAGAGGAAAUCUUAAGGUAAGUAACAAUAUAUAAUAGCCUAACUGCAUAUUUACUAAUUAACCAGAUACUAUAGGUAGGAUAUAAUGACCCGUUAAAGGAUUUUUAAAUUUAACGACUAUGAAAAAAGUUACCGUAGGGAUAACAGGGUAAUAUUUCUGAAGAGUUCAUAUCGAUAGAAAUGUUUGCCACCUCGAUGUUGAAUUGUGAUAUCCUAAAGGUGCAGCAGCUUUU